rnacentral:rRNA from 1 species
AGAGUUUGAUCCUGGCUCAGGAUGAACGCUAGCGGCAGGCUUAACACAUGCAAGUCGAGGGGCAGCGCGGGGCGGCAACGUCCUGGCGGCGACCGGCGGAAGGGUGCGUAACGCGUGAGCGACAUGCCCGUUGCCCGGGGACAACCGGUGGAAACGCCGACUAAUCCCCGAUGGGACGGAGGCCCUCAUGGGUCUCUGUUGAAAGUUACGGCGGCGACGGAUUGGCUCGCGUCCGAUUAGCUAGUUGGCGGGGUAACGGCCCACCAAGGCUACGAUCGGUAGGGGUUCUGAGAGGAAGGUCCCCCACAAUGGAACUGAGACACGGUCCAUACUCCUACGGGAGGCAGCAGUGAGGAAUAUUGGUCAAUGGGCGGAAGCCUGAACCAGCCAUGCCGCGUGCGGGAAGGAGGCCCUAUGGGCUGUGAACCGCUUUUGCCUGGGGGCAAUAAGGGCGUCGUGCACGUCCGAUGAGAGUACCAGGGGAAUAAGCAUCGGCUAACUCCGUGCCAGCAGCCGCGGUAAUACGGGGGAUGCGAGCGUUAUCCGGAUUCAUUGGGUUUAAAGGGUGCGUAGGCUGUGCGUCAAGUCAGGGGUGAAAUUCCGGGGCUCAACUCCGGGGCUGCCCUUGAUACUGUCGCGCUGGAGUGCGGAUGCCGCCGGAGGAAUGAGUGGUGUAGCGGUGAAAUGCUUAGAUAUCACUCAGAACACCGAUUGCGAAGGCAUCUGGCGAAUCCGUAACUGACGCUGAGGCACGAAAGCGUGGGGAUAGAACAGGAUUAGAUACCCUGGUAUUCCACGCCGUAAACGAUGAUGGCUAACCGCCGGCGACACACUGUCGGUGGCCAAGCGAAAGCGAUAAGCCAUCCACCUGGGGAGUACGUCGGCAACGAUGAAACUCAAAGGAAUUGACGGGGGCCCGCACAAGCGGAGGAACAUGUG